UGAAACCCAUUCCCUACAAACCAGGUAGCCGGGGCCCAAAGGAAGCUGACGAGUUGCUCUCUAGAGCAGGCUAUGUGCAAACCCAUGGCUACAUAUGGAUACCACCUACCCUAUAAUUAAAGGCAUCAACCUAUGUGCAAACUCGUGGCUACAUAUGGAUACCACCUACCCUAUAAUUAAAGGCAUCAACCACUAGAACAUAUUGUGAGGUUUGCUCAGCCUCAAGAACUAUGGCUUCCUUCUUAUGGUUUACUGAGAGUGGUGGUGCCUUUGGUAUGUUCAAUGUACA
rnacentral:lncRNA from 1 species